rnacentral:rRNA from 1 species
CAGUGGCUCAANCAUUGUAGGCUUUGGAAACUGUUUAACUNGAGUGCAGAAGGGGAGAGUGGAAUUCCAUGUGUAGCGGUGAAAUGCGUAGAUAUAUGGAGGAACACCGGUGGCGAAAGCGGCUCUCUGGUCUGUAACUGACGCUGAGGCUCGAAAGCGUGGGGAGCGAACAGGAUUAGAUACCCUGGUAGUNCACGCCGUAAACGAUGAGUGCUAGGUGUUAGGUCCUUUCCGGGACUUAGUGCCGCAGCUAACGCAUUAAGCACUCCGCCUGGGGAGUACGACCGCAAGGUUGAAACUCAAAGGAAUUGACGGGGGCCCGCACAAGCGGUGGAGCAUGUGGUUUAAUUCGAAGCAACGCGAAGAACCUUACCAGGUCUUGACAUCCCGAUGCCCGCUCUAGAGAUAGAGCUUUACUUCGGUACAUCGGUGACAGGUGGUGCAUGGUUGUCGUCAGCUCGUGUCGUGAGAUGUUGGGUUAAGUCCCGCAACGAGCGCAACCCUUAUUGUUAGUUGCCAUCAUUCAGUUGGGCACUCUAGCGAGACUGCCGGUAAUAAACCGGAGGAAGGUGGGGAUGACGUCAAAUCAUCAUGCCCCUUAUGACCUGGGCUACACACGUGCUACAAUGGCUGGUACAACGAGUCGCAAGCCGGUGACGGCAAGCUAAUCUCUGAAAGCCAGUCUCAGUUCGGAUUGUAGGCUGCAACUCGCCUACAUGAAGUCGGAAUCGCUAGUAAUCGCGGAUCAGCACGCCGCGGUGAAUACGUUCCCGGGCCUUGUACACACCGCCCGUCACACCACGAGAGUUUGUAACACCCGAAGUCGGUGAGGUAACCGUA